AGAGUUUACACACUACAGUGUCAUCAAAUUUAAUUUGAAUUUGUUAGCAAGUCCCACACUCAGCAGAUACGGACGGAGCAACUUAACUUGCGUGAAUAUGCAGUUGUGUUUGUGACCACUUAAUGAAUGGAUUUCAAAGCCCUCGGCAGGUUGCUGUGGUUACAAACAAAAGGACGUCUGGGCUCGCAGCUUUGCACAGGCUGGAAACUGCGUCAUGAUGGAGGAAACCACCUGUAACUGGAAGCAGCAUCAACCAGCAUGAUUACACUAACACCACAUUAAAUAUUCUGUGCUCAGGGU